CAGCCGCGGUAAUUUGACCGUGCAAAGGUAGCAUAAUCAUUUGCCUUGUAAUUGAGGGCUGGAAUGAAUGGGUAAACAAGGUUUUCUCUUUAUUGGCUAGGGUUUUGGAAUUUGCUGUUUGAGUGAAGAAGCUUAAGUUUUACAGGGGGACAAGAAGACCCUUUUGAGUUUUAUUAGUUGAUAACUUGUUUUGUUUGACUAAUUUGGUUGGGGCGAUCAAGGAAGUAUAGAUCUUCCUCUUAUUAUUUUGAUCCAAUUGUUUUGAUUAAAAGAGUUAAUUACCAAAGGGAUAACAGCGUAAUUUUUUUUGAGAGUUCUUAUUAAAGAAAAAGAUUGCGACCUCGAUGUUGACUUAUAAUUUCCCGAAGGUGCAGGAGCUUUUUGGGUGGGUCUGUUCGACCUUUAA
rnacentral:rRNA from 1 species